rnacentral:rRNA from 1 species
GUGUGAAGAAGGCCUUCGGGUUGUAAAGCACUUUUGUCCGGAAAGAAAUCGCACUUACUAAUAUUAGGUGUGGAUGACGGUACCGGAAGAAUAAGGACCGGCUAACUACGUGCCAGCAGCCGCGGUAAUACGUAGGGUCCAAGCGUUAAUCGGAAUUACUGGGCGUAAAGCGUGCGCAGGCGGUUGUGCAAGACCGAUGUGAAAUCCCCGGGCUUAACCUGGGAAUUGCAUUGGUGACUGCACGGCUAGAGUGUGUCAGAGGGGGGUAGAAUUCCACGUGUAGCAGUGAAAUGCGUAGAGAUGUGGAGGAAUACCGAUGGCGAAGGCAGCCCCCUGGGAUAACACUGACGCUCAUGCACGAAAGCGUGGGGAGCAAACAGGAUUAGAUACCCUGGUAGUCCACGCCCUAAACGAUGUCAACUAGUUGUUGGGGAUUCAUUUCCUUAGUAACGUAGCUAACGCGUGAAGUUGACCGCCUGGGGAGUACGGUCGCAAGAUUAAAACUCAAAGGAAUUGACGGGGACCCGCACAAGCGGUGGAUGAUGUGGAUUAAUUCGAUGCAACGCGAAAAACCUUACCUACCCUUGACAUGCCACUAACGAAGCAGAGAUGCAUNAGGUGCNCGAAAGNGAAAGUGGACACAGGUGCUGCAUGGCNGUCGUCAGCUCGUGUCGUGAGAUGUUGGGUUAAGUCCCGCAACGAGCGCAACCCUUGUCUCUAGUUGCUACGAAAGGGCACUCUAGAGAGACUGCCGGUGACAAACCGGAGGAAGGUGGGGAUGACGUCAAGUCCUCAUGGCCCUUAUGGGUAGGGCUUCACACGUCAUACAAUGGUGCAUACAGAGGGUUGCCAAGCCGCGAGGUGGAGCUAAUCCCAGAAAAUGCAUCGUAGUCCGGAUCGUAGUCUGCAACUCGACUACGUGAAGCUGGAAUCGCU